rnacentral:rRNA from 1 species
UACGGGGGGAUCAAGCGUUGUUCGGAUUUACUGGGCGUAAAGGGCGCGUAGGCGGCCACGACAAGUCAGUUGUGAAAUCUCUGGGCUUAACUCAGAACGGUCAACCGAUACUGCGGGGCUAGAGUGCAGAAGGGGCAACUGGAAUUCUCGGUGUAGCGGUGAAAUGCGUAGAUAUUCGGAGGAACACCAGUGGCGACGGCGACCACCUGGAUCAACACUGACGCUGAGGUACGAAAGCGUGGGGAGCAAACAGG